rnacentral:rRNA from 1 species
AUUGAACGCUGGCGGCAGGCCUAACACAUGCAAGUCGAACGAGUGGCGGACGGGUGAGUAAUGUCUGGGAAACUGCCUGAUGGAGGGGGAUAACUACUGGAAACGGUAGCUAAUACCGCAUACCAUCAGAUGUGCCCAGAUGGGAUUAGAUUGUUGGUGGGGUAACGGCUCACCAAGGCGACGAUCCCUAGCUGGUCUGAGAGGAUGACCAGCCACCCUGGAACUGGUCACCGGUCCAGACUCCAACGGGAGGCAUCAGUGGGGAAUAUUGCACAAUGGGCGCAAGCCUGAUGCAGCCAUGCCGCGUGUAUGAAGAGGGCCUUCGGGUUGUAAAGUACUUUCAGCGGGGAGGCGUUACCCGCAGACGAAGCACCGGCUACCUCCGUGCCAGCAGCCGCGGUAAUU